AUUGAACGCUGGCGGCAGGCCUAACACAUGCAAGUCGAACGGUAGCACAGAGAGCUUGCUCUCGGGUGAUGAGUGGCGGACGGGUGAGUAAUGUCUGGGAAACUGCCCGAUGGAGGGGGAUAACUACUGGAAACGGUAGCUAAUACCGCAUAAUGUCGCAAGACCAAAGAGGGGGACCUUCGGGCCUCUUGCCAUCGGAUGUGCCCAGAUGGGAUUAGCUUGUUGGUGAGGUAAUGGCUCACCAAGGCGACGAUCCCUAGCUGGUCUGAGAGGAUGACCAGCCACACUGGAACUGAGACACGGUCCAGACUCCUACGGGAGGCAGCAGUGGGGAAUAUUGCACAAUGGGCGCAAGCCUGAUGCAGCCAUGCCGCGUGUGUGAAGAAGGCCUUCGGGUUGUAAAGCACUUUCAGCGGGGAGGAAGGCGAUACGGUUAAUAACCGUGUUGAUUGACGUUACCCGCAGAAGAAGCACCGGCUAACUCCGUG
rnacentral:rRNA from 1 species